AUGAGGAAGGAAGCACUCUGGGCAUGCUUUGCAGUGGAACCUGAUUUUGAGGCAAUGAUUUCGGUUAGUUCAUAUCACUAGAUCUUGAUUAUUAUUCUGGAAUAUAUUUCCAUUCAUCUGAGCUGGAAAUUAUUGAAGAUGUUAUUGGUACUACAAUAGCAUGGCCAGCAGACAAAGUGGUUUUCUUUUAGAGCUCCGUUCAGAGAUGCUAAGAGAGCUAUAUAUGAAGGUUAGAAGCUAGUAAUGGACUGAUGUGGUCAUGAAUGAUAGGAGUUGCGCACAAGUACUUUUUGAUUGAGACAUUGUAGUACUUGUUUAUCUCUUCCUUGGAUUAAUUAUGCAAACUGAUCGACUGCUAGCUUUUGAGACAAUUUUAUUGAAUUGUAUUUGAAAUUCAUGUUUGAAGUUUGAGUAUUGAUGAGACGAUUGACAUUUA